rnacentral:rRNA from 1 species
GAUGAACGCUGGCUACAGGCUUAACACAUGCAAGUCGAGGGGAAACGGCAUUGGGUGCUUGCACCGAAUGGACGUCGACCGGCGCACGGGUGAGUAACGCGUAUCCAACCUUCCCGUUACUGCGGGAUAACCUGCCGAAAGGCAGACUAAUACCGCAUGUUCUUCGAUGACGGCAUCAGAUUCGAAGCAAAGAUCCGUCGGUAACGGAGGGGGAUGCGUCUGAUUAGCUUGUUGGCGGGGCGACGGCCCACCAAGGCGACGAUCAGUAGGGGUUCUGAGAGGAAGGUCCCCCACAUUGGAACUGAGACACGGUCCAAACUCCUACGGGAGGCAGCAGUGAGGAAUAUUGGUCAAUGGGCGGAAGCCUGAACCAGCCAAGUAGCGUGCAGGAUGACGGCCCUACGGGUUGUAAACUGCUUUUAUGCGGGGAUAAAGUGAGGGACGCGUCCCUUUUUGCAGGUAC